rnacentral:lncRNA from 1 species
GACUCCAAAAAAGGCUGAAGCGCCAAAGAAAGUGGAGAAGAAGAAAGAAGUAGCAAAGAAGCCAGAUGCAAAGAAACCUGCAGAGAAGAAGGUGGCUGAUAAAGGUGCUGCGAAGAAACCUGUAGCGUGAGUAUUAACUUGUUAUGUAGUUGAGUAUGUGAAAGGUCAUUGUCUAUGGAUGUUUGACUCUGGGUAAAGUCAUGGGUUCAAUUCUUGAACUGGGCAGUGCAUUGCUCAAAUCUUUUCAACUGUAAUGGGUAGUAAGAGAUUACAAAUGAACUUAAUAAGAUAAGUGAUAACCAACCACCUAUAAAGAUAGGUGGUCUAUCAGAGGAAUGAAGUGGUGUAAAUCCUUACACAUGCUCUACAUGAGUGGUUCCCAGGUAUUUUUGGGCUGCUGCCCCCUUGAAGCCCAGGCUGACUAACCAUCACAAAUAUAGACUGCUUUCUGAAGCAAAUUCAAAG